rnacentral:lncRNA from 1 species
CAAAAACCAAACAAACCAACCCACUAUGGUAAAUGGGGCAGGGGAAAUUGAGAAGUCAAGAUGAAGACAGAAUUGGACAUAUAUGAAUAUAAACUUUUUUUUUAGCUAGCUGUAAACAGUGUGGUAUGAGGAAAGAUGGGAAGAGAUAUAAAAAUAAACAGCAUUAAGUUAAAGGGGAUAAUUAUAGGAGCCAAAAUGAGAGGUGAGUGUUGCAAAGGAUCCAGCUAACUUUAGAGACUUGAGAAGGUUCUUCAAACAUUUCCUUUCAGGACACUGUGGGGCUUUAAUCUUUCAGGAUUUAACAAGCCCCUGAAUGUAUAUGCCUUAAAUACACACAAACACACAUUUUUGCUUUUUCCUGUUGGGGGAGAAGAGAUAGUAAGAGAUGUGUUCUUCGUUGUCAUUUGGAAAACAGCUUCCGGCUUGCAUUUCUUCUGUAUUUGAAAGUCAUGAUACUGAAGACAUUCAAAAAUCCCCAGGAGAUACCAUGUCCACAUCACAAAUGCAAACUUAUCUUUACCGUAAUAUGUUCACUUCUCAUAACUCCUUGAUUGGAACCCUUCACUUCAUCCAGGCUGAGGAUUCUGUAAG